rnacentral:pre_miRNA from 1 species
CGUAAGAGAUUUUGAGUUUUUGCUUGCACCGUUUGACCACUCGUCUUAUUCAAAAAAAUUUGAAAUUAUUAUUUAUUUUUUUGACUUACUUUAUUAUCUAAAGUACUUUAAGCACAAAUUUUCAUUUUUUAUAUUUGCACAAAUUUUUUAAAUAAGACGAGUAGUCAAACGGUGCAAGCAAAAACUCAAAAUCCCUUAUA